AUUGUACUCCCUCAGUCCGGAAAUACUUGUCGGAGAAAUUGAUGUAUCUAGACAUAUUUUAGCUAGAAACAUCCAUUUCUCCGACAAGUAUUUCCGGACGGAGGGAGUAUCAG
rfam:Triticum aestivum genome assembly, contig: Triticum_aestivum_CS42_TGACv1_scaffold_181888_2DS